AUCCUACUGAUGAGUACCAAAUAACACGAAACUCAAGUCCAGGAC
rnacentral:hammerhead_ribozyme from 1 species